rfam:Firmicutes bacterium GWF2_51_9 gwf2_scaffold_7023, whole genome shotgun sequence.
CAUGCUACCGCAAUGGAAUCCUACGAACCAGGUCAGGGUCGGAAGACAGCAGCCUUAAGAGGCUCUUUCAUGUGUGGUAGCUUUUUU